CCUCCUGGGAAACAGCUGUGUUGUCAAGACAACAGGUAAAACUCACAACGAAUUAGACAUGGCGGAGCUGCUGAAAAUGAAAAGUGAAGUUGAAGAGUUCAAAAAGGAAUACUUAUGCAGAAACAAUCAAGCCGAGGAGAACAGACAGAGGGAGACUGAGGCCGCCACCCGGAUUCAGAGCUGGUUCAGAGCCUGCCGGGUUCGGGCUUACCUCAGCCAUCUGCACAUGAAGGCAAUCACUGUACAGAAGAUAUGGCGGGGCUUCACAGCAAGGGCACGUUUCAGACAAAUGGUGAAGGCGGCAUAUUUUAUCAUGAAGAUGAAAUUCUAUGAGGAGAUGGCGGUCAGGAUCCAACGAAGAUGGAGAGGAUUCUUUGUAAGGAAGUAUAUUCAUAACUUCUAUGUGCGCAAGAGAUAUCUGCAAGGACUUUCCAGGAAAAAUGAACUUGUCAGGAGGGAUCUUGAUGAACUUGAGGAACUUCAGAAGAGAGAGAGAGACUGUGUGGAGAUGAUUAAGGAGCAGACAGCCAAGGUCUACCAAGCUCACCGGUUGCAUCACCUCCUCAGUACGAAACAGUGCCCAGGAGUAUUCAACUCCCCAUUCAGGCCAGCCCCCCAUGAGAUGGAGCUACUGCUGAGGCAGGUCAAGUACCAAGCCCCAACCAGACUUGCCCCUAAGGGCAGGGCCUGUCUCUUGGGCAUGCCUGGACCAACAGACCCUAGUUUCCCUGAGAGUCUUGCAUCCCCGUGGAUCAAAACAACUAAUACCUGCUGCUCCAUCAAGCCCAUACUGCCCCCUAUUGCCAGCAAGAAACCGCAGGGUCUGUUCAGAGAGCCAGGGGAUGUGUUUGAGCAGCGUGUGUGUUGUCCUGACCUGACGUUGUGUCUGCAGACCUCUUACACACACCUGGAGGAAGCUCAGAAUCAGCUACGACAACACGAGUCCCUAAGACCUCACAGUCACACGCUAGGAACAGGAAGUCUGCCCCACCAUCUGAGCCACAGCAGCACUUCAUUUACUCACCCAGACUCUGUCAAGAGCUUUACGCAGUAGAUUGCACACCCUCUCCAAGAGGAGGUGCCAAUUGUCACCCCAAUGACUGACUGUUCUGUAUUGAUGGACUGGACCUGCUGACAGAGGAACAAAAGAAAACAGAGCAGUGUUGGUGGAGAGAGGCAGAGGAGACAGUGAAGAGAAGAUAGAAAAAGACCAGUGGAGUACGCUGGCUCGGACCUGUGAAGGUCAUGUCCACCACUUGGUUAUUUUGAGUUCUGACGUCCCUGAGACAUGGAUUCAUUACUGAGCCCGACGCCACCAGGAUGCUGUGUAUGGGUGUCGUGUAACUCAUCUCAGGGCAAUCAGUCUCCAGCAUCUCCCUCAGUGCCCCCAGUGAGAGCAGCUAAAAUUAAGUGGUGCCACUUCUCAGUGACACUUUAAUGAUAGCACCGCUGCUCCGCACACAGAGAGAUGGGAGAGCUUCUUUUUACUGACUGCUGUAAAUCGGAUAUAAGAACAGCCAUGUCAAGAUCCAGUACAGUCCUGCUGGAUGUGUACAGAGAUGACAAAUUAUGGUAGCUGAACAAACCAAAAGGAUUUUGGAAGCUGACUGCGACACCUACUGUAAAGUUUAAUGUUAAAAGGAAAGUUAGUGAGGUUUUCACUUUUCAAAAUUUCACCAGAUUUUUACAAAAGUCUCAGUAUAUCAAAAUGUAAUCUAAGUAUCAGUGUGUUCAAAAUUUUUAUGUGUCAUCUGACUACGCCUGAAAAGUUUUAAAGCUGUUUUAAAUGUUAGACUUGAAGGCAGGGUAAGCAGGCCUGGAAAAGGGAAGACAGAAUAAUACUUUUAGUGGGGAUAACAGCACACGCUUUAGAAAAAUCUCUACUCAAAGUCCGUCAUAGACUUGCACUUGGAUGUACACACAAAGAGUGACAGAAGUAAUACACAGUAAAAAGUAGCUUGUCAGAUGGUCAGUUUCAGAAAGCCAACGCAGCCAUAGCAUACAUAUGGAUGUGUGAUGCAUAUAAUGGUUGAACAUGUGAGAUCCUACUGAGUACACAGACAAAUUAUCAGCCAUUUCCCCUAGUUUACCAUGGUGAAAAUCAUCCCUAUCUUGUGACUCUCUUGUAUUAUAUACUUUCAAGUUACAGAGGUAAUCUUCCAUGAAUGUGCAAAAUUGAAGCUUGUUGACUGUUUUAGCCCUUAACCCUUUCACAACACUCACCCAAAUUCUGAAGUCAAAAAUAAUCCAAUUGGAUCCAGGAAAAUUUUAAUCAGAUUUUAAUCAGUUUCUCUGUUAUGUCCAUUCAUGUCAUUUAAAAAAGGAUUGUGACAGGAAAUGAUGUCAUCACUUUGGCUUUGUGAGAAAGCAGUUUGACUUUCACAAAAAAGCAAGAGAGACGACAUCAUUUCCUCUUGCCAUCCUUAUUUUUUCACCUGAAAAACAAACUAAAUUUAUAUUUUUCCUGGAUGGGACCGGAUUAUUUUUAAUUCCACAUCAUUAGAAGAGUCUAUAAGGAUUCAAAAAAUACCUUCAGAAUUUGGGUAAGUGUUAAGAAAUUACGGUACGGGUUAAAACGGUCAACAAGUCUCAUGUUCAUGGAAAAUUAUCACUGUGGCUCAAGCAUGUAUACAUGAGAGUCACAAGUCUGAAACCAUGUUUGCCUAUCAUUUCAGUUUGUUGAACUUCAGUGUAAAGCAUCUCUGUUCUCCGGUUAUUUGCAGUAUUGUUGUGUUCACGCUGCUGAUUAGAUGAGGCCUUCACUCAAGUAAAAUCCACACUCCUUGGCGUUCAUAAUUAGUUGGUGUGGAAAUAAAACUGACACUGUUCCAUAAAUUACUUUUUUUUGUCUCCAUCUUGCUGAUAGCCUAUUCAGAGGCCAGUGAUCAGUUAAAGUCCUUUCGUAACCUCCUCUGCACCCACACACAAACACACUCGCCCUAUUAAUGAGCGGACGGCUAAUUAAGACUCCAAAAAGUGGGGGAGUUGCUCCUUUUUGAUUGAUAGCACCCACCGUCUUCUCUUCCUGCUACUUUGCAUUUUAAUGUUCAUUAAUAAACUUUUAUUGUUUUGUUAAUUAUAAUACCACCCUCCCCCGUUGAGAUAAUAACUGAACAGAGCGAAUUGUUCAGAAAGAUUUUCUGCUACAUGAAGGAAGAAUUGGCAGGACAAAAAGAAAAAGAAAAGCAAUGACGGGAAACAAAAGAGAAAAAUAAAUGAACUGAGACAAAAUAGCAGGAAGUAGAGGGUGAUGUAUGGUAGUGAGAAUUUAAAAUGUCCUUUUUUCAUACUCAAACAAGCCAAACAAUAUGACAGCAUUUAUGAUUUGUGUUUAAUUAACUUUUUAGUAGCAGUUCCUUUGAAGCAGCAAGUGUCCGAGAUGGCUGAUUGAAAUCUGUACGACCUCGUGAAAUGUUUGCCCUCUGCUGAUGGAAAUGCAGUUUUUGCAGCAGCUGUGUGCAUGGCCACGGAAAAUAUAAAAACACCAAACUUUUCAAAGACAGUCAUGAAACUUUCUCUCUGUAAUUUAACAACAGUUUUAAAUAGGUAGUAUGAAUGUGCGAGAGAGAGUGUGUGUGAUGUUUGAUUGUGUGUGUGUUUGCAGAGGAGAAAGUGCUGCAACAUCUGAUUGGUGUGUGCUGUUUUCAUGCUUAAGUACAUCUGCUUGUGUAGGCGUGUAUU